rnacentral:misc_RNA from 1 species
GCAAACUUGGUCAUUUAGAGGAAGUAAAAGUCGUAACAAGGUUUCCGUAGGUGAACCUGCGGAAGGAUCAUUAAAAAAUUGCCCAAGGACAUUCGUGUCCAAGGCCCACACUGUGUGCACCGUUUAAAUCGUUCUUUGGCAGGGUCUUUGGGUUCAUUUUCUCUUUAGAGUUUGAGCCCAACUUCUCUUAGACUCUAUCCUUCUAGUCAAGGACAGUUGAACAUGGGAAGCCGUUACCCUGCCAAGUGACUCUUAAAACACGCAUUUGUCUGAAAUACCCUUUUUUUUUUGCGAUUUAGUAACGCAUAAUAAAACAUAACUUUCAACAACGGAUCUCUUGGCUCUCGCAUCGAUGAAGAACGCAGC